rnacentral:rRNA from 1 species
GAGUUUGAUCAUGGCUCAGAUUGAACGCUGGCGGCAGGCCUAACACAUGCAAGUCGAACGGUAGCACAGAGGAGCUUGCUCCUUGGGUGACGAGUGGCGGACGGGUGAGUAAUGUCUGGGGAUCUGCCCGAUGGAGGGGGAUAACUACUGGAAACGGUAGCUAAUACCGCAUAACGUCGCAAGACCAAAGUGGGGGACCUUCGGGCCUCACACCAUCGGAUGAACCCAGAUGGGAUUAGCUAGUAGGUGGGGUAACGGCUCACCUAGGCGACGAUCCCUAGCUGGUCUGAGAGGAUGACCAGCCACACUGGAACUGAGACACGGUCCAGACUCCUACGGGAGGCAGCAGUGGGGAAUAUUGCACAAUGGGCGCAAGCCUGAUGCAGCCAUGCCGCGUGUAUGAAGAAGGCCUUCGGGUUGUAAAGUACUUUCAGCGGGGAGGAAGGUGGUGAGGUUAAUAAGCUCAUCAAUUGACGUUACCCGCAGAAGAAGCACCGGCUAACUCCGUGCCAGCAGCCGCGGUAAUACGGAGGGUGCAAGCGUUAAUCGGAAUUACUGGGCGUAAAGCGCACGCAGGCGGUCUGUCAAGUCGGAUGUGAAAUCCCCGGGCUUAACCUGGGAACUGCAUUCGAAACUGGCAGGCUCGAGUCUCGUAGAGGGGGGUAGAAUUCCAGGUGUAGCGGUGAAAUGCGUAGAGAUCUGGAGGAAUACCGGUGGCGAAGGCGGCCCCCUGGACGAAGACUGACGCUCAGGUGCGAAAGCGUGGGGAGCAAACAGGAUUAGAUACCCUGGUAGUCCACGCCGUAAACGAUGUCGACUUGGAGGUUGUGCCCUUGAGGCGUGGCUUCCGGAGCUAACGCGUUAAGUCGACCGCCUGGGGAGUACGGCCGCAAGGUUAAAACUCAAAUGAAUUGACGGGGGCCCGCACAAGCGGUGGAGCAUGUGGUUUAAUUCGAUGCAACGCGAAGAACCUUACCUGGCCUUGACAUCCAGAGAACUUAGCAGAGAUGCUUUGGUGCCUUCGGGAACUCUGAGACAGGUGCUGCAUGGCUGUCGUCAGCUCGUGUUGUGAAAUGUUGGGUUAAGUCCCGCAACGAGCGCAACCCUUAUCCUUUGUUGCCAGCGAUUCGGUCGGGAACUCAAAGGAGACUGCCGGUGAUAAACCGGAGGAAGGUGGGGAUGACGUCAAGUCAUCAUGGCCCUUACGGCCAGGGCUACACACGUGCUACAAUGGCGCAUACAAAGAGAAGCGACCUCGCGAGAGCAAGCGGACCUCAUAAAGUGCGUCGUAGUCCGGAUUGGAGUCUGCAACUCGACUCCAUGAAGUCGGAAUCGCUAGUAAUCGUAGAUCAGAAUGCUACGGUGAAUACGUUCCCGGGCCUUGUACACACCGCCCGUCACACCAUGGGAGUGGGUUGCAAAAGAAGUAGGUAGCUUAACCUUCGGGAGGGCGCUUACCACUUUGUGAUUCAUGACUGGGGU